GUAGUUUACUACUAGAAAUGACUGAGCGGCGAACGGGUGAGUAACGCGUGAGCAAUCUACCUUAGUUACUGGGAUAGCCCGAGGAAACUCGGAUUAAUACCGGAUAUUCUUAUUUUUUCACAUGAAGUUUUAAGGAAAGGUCAGCCGAACUAAGAUGAGCUCGCGUUCUAUCAGCUAGUUGGUGGGGUAAAAGCCUACCAAGGCUACGACGGAUAGCUGGUCUGAGAGGACGAUCAGCCACACUGGGACUGAGACACGGCCCAGACUCCUACGGGAGGCUGCAGCAGGGAAUAUUGUGCAAUGAGCGAAAGCUUGACACAGCGACACCGCGUGUGGGAUGACGGUUCUAGGAUUGUAAACCACUUUCAGGAGGGAAGAAAAUGACGGUACCUCCACAAGAAGACCCGGCCAACUAUGUGCCAGCAGCCGCGGUAAUACAUAGGGGUCAAGCGUUGUCCGGAUUUAUUGGGCGUAAAGAGCUCGUAGGCGGUUCAACAAGUCGGUCGUAAAAGUUUAGGGCUCAACCCUAAAAUGUCGAUCGAUACUGUUGUGACUAGGAUACGGUAGAGGUGAAUGGAAUCCCGAGUGUAGCGGUGAAAUGCGUA
rnacentral:rRNA from 1 species